ACUUGGCUGGCUCAGUCAGUAGAGCAUGCGACUCUUGAUCUCAGGGUCAUGAGUUCGAGUCUCACAUUGGGUG
rnacentral:tRNA from 1 species